UGAGGAAUAUUGGUCAAUGGGCGAGAGCCUGAACCAGCCAAGUCGCGUGAGGGAAGACGGUACUAAGUAUUGUAAACCUCUUUUGUCAGGGAACAAAGGCUCUCACGUGUGGGAAGAUGAGUGUACCUGAAGAAAAAGCAUCGGCUAACUCCGUGCCAGCAGCCGCGGUAAUACGGAGGAUGCGAGCGUUAUCCGGAUUUAUUGGGUUUAAAGGGUGCGCAGGCGGAAGGUCAAGUCAGCGGUAAAAUGUCGGGGCUCAACCCCGGCCGGCCGUUGAAACUGGCCAUCUAGAGUUGGAGAGAAGUAUGCGGAAUUCGUGGUGUAGCGGUGAAAUGCAUAGAUAUCACGAAGAACUCCGAUUGCGAAGGCAGCAUACCGGCUCCAUACUGACGCUCAGGCACGAAAGCGUGGGGAUCGAACAGG
rnacentral:rRNA from 1 species